rnacentral:rRNA from 1 species
UACAGGGGGGGCAAGCGUUGUUCGGAAUUACUGGGCGUAAAGGGCUCGUAGGUGGCCAACUAAGUCAGACGUGAAAUCCCUCAGCUUAACUGGGGAACUGCGUCUGAUACUGGAUGGCUUGAGUUUGGGAGAGGGAUGCGGAAUUCCAGGUGUAGCGGUGAAAUGCGUAGAUAUCUGGAGGAACACCGGUGGCGAAAGCGUUCUGCUAGACCUGUACUGACACUGAGGGACGAAAGCUAGGGGAGCGAAUGGG